GAAACACUACUCUGUCUGGACAAAGCUAAUUCCAGAAUCCCAGAAUGGCUGAGGAAGUCAAAGAGAGCCAACUUUAGUAAAGUUGUCUGGGAUCAUGGACAAGGUCAUUUUCUGCAGUUCAUCUGGCAUGGAAAUAAUCUUCAGUUCAGACUCAGAGUGGAAUUUUCUUUUGCUCACCUCGGUGAAGAAAUACUCUCACAGAUUUCCAAGAGACCACUUUUCAGAAAGAGUAAUCCACCUGCAUGAGGAUGAAAUCAUGGCCAGUUACUGGACAGCUG
rnacentral:lncRNA from 1 species